rnacentral:rRNA from 1 species
GGCAAUGGCGGCAAGACUAUCCAUGACACGUCGAGCGGUAGAGAGGUGCUUGCACCUCUUGAGAGCGGCGGACGGGUGAGUAAUGCCUAGGAAUCUGCCUGGUAGUGGGGGAUAACGCUCGGAAACGGACGCUAAUACCGCAUACGUCCUACGGGAGAAAGCAGGGGACCUUCGGGCCUUGCGCUAUCAGAUGAGCCUAGGUCGGAUUAGCUAGUUGGUGAGGUAAUGGCUCACCAAGGCGACGAUCCGUAACUGGUCUGAGAGGAUGAUCAGUCACACUGGAACUGAGACACGGUCCAGACUCCUACGGGAGGCAGCAGUGGGGAAUAUUGGACAAUGGGCGAAAGCCUGAUCCAGCCAUGCCGCGUGUGUGAAGAAGGUCUUCGGAUUGUAAAGCACUUUAAGUUGGGAGGAAGGGCAUUAACCUAAUACGUUAGUGUUUUGACGUUACCGACAGAAUAAGCACCGGCUAACUCUGUGCCAGCAGCCGCGGUAAUACAGAGGGUGCAAGCGUUAAUCGGAAUUACUGGGCGUAAAGCGCGCGUAGGUGGUUCGUUAAGUUGGAUGUGAAAUCCCCGGGCUCAACCUGGGAACUGCAUUCAAAACUGUCGAGCUAGAGUAUGGUAGAGGGUGGUGGAAUUUCCUGUGUAGCGGUGAAAUGCGUAGAUAUAGGAAGGAACACCAGUGGCGAAGGCGACCACCUGGACUGAUACUGACACUGAGGUGCGAAAGCGUGGGGAGCAAACAGGAUUAGAUACCCUGGUAGUCCACGCCGUAAACGAUGUCAACUAGCCGUUGGGAGCCUUGAGCUCUUAGUGGCGCAGCUAACGCAUUAAGUUGACCGCCUGGGGAGUACGGCCGCAAGGUUAAAACUCAAAUGAAUUGACGGGGGCCCGCACAAGCGGUGGAGCAUGUGGUUUAAUUCAAAGCAACGCGAAGAACCUUACCAGGCCUUGACAUCCAAUGAACUUUCCAGAGAUGGAUUGGUGCCUUCGGGAACAUUGAGACAGGUGCUGCAUGGCUGUCCUCAGCUCGUGUCGUGAAAUGUUGGGUUAAGUCCCGUAACAAGCGCAACCCUUGCCCUUAGUUACCAGCACGUUAUGGGGGGCACUCUAAAGGAACUGGCCGGGGACAAACCUGAAAGAAGGUGGGGAUGACCGUCAAGU